GGGUUGUGAGGUUAAGCGACUAAGCGUACACGGUGGAUGCCCUGGCAGUCAGAGGCGAUGAAGGGCGUGCUAAUCUGCGAUAAGCGCCGGUAAGGUGAUAUGAACCGUUAUAACCGGCGAUACCCGAAUGGGGAAACCCAGUGUGAUUCGUCACACUAUCAUUAACUGAAUCCAUAGGUUAAUGAGGCGAACCGGGGGAACUGAAACAUCUAAGUACCCCGAGGAAAAGAAAUCAACCGAGAUUCCCCCAGUAGCGGCGAGCGAACGGGGAGGAGCCCAGAGCCUGAAUCAGCAUGUGUGUUAGUGGAAGCGUCUGGAAAGGCGCGCGAUACAGGGUGACAGCCCCGUACACAAAAGCGCAUGUGCUGUGAGCUCGAUGAGUAGGGCGGGACACGUGGUAUCCUGUCUGAAUAUGGGGGGACCAUCCUCCAAGGCUAAAUACUCCUGACUGACCGAUAGUGAACCAGUACCGUGAGGGAAAGGCGAAAAGAACCCCGGCGAGGGGAGUGAAAAA
rnacentral:rRNA from 1 species